rnacentral:snRNA from 1 species
AUGCUUGCUUUGGCAGCACAUAUACUAAAUUUGGAAUGAUACAGAGAAGAUUAGCAUGGCCCCUGUGCAAGGAUGACACACAAAUUCAUGAAGCAUUCCAUUAAAAA